rnacentral:rRNA from 1 species
GACGAACGCUGGCGGCGUGCCUAAUACAUGCAAGUCGAGCGCAGGAAACUGACGGAACUCUUCGGAGGGAAGGCAGUGGAAUGAGCGGCGGACGGGUGAGUAACACGUAAGGAACCUGCCUCAAGGAUUGGGAUAACUCCGAAAAAUCGGAGCUAAUACCGGAUAGUUCAACGGACCGCAUGGUCCGCUGAUGAAAGGCGCUCCGGCGUCACCUUGAGAUGGCCUUGCGGUGCAUUAGCUAGUUGGUGGGGUAACGGCCCACCAAGGCGACGAUGCAUAGCCGACCUGAGAGGGUGAUCGGCCACACUGGGACUGAGACACGGCCCAGACUCCUACGGGAGGCAGCAGUAGGGAAUCUUCCACAAUGGACGAAAGUCUGAUGGAGCAACGCCGCGUGAGUGAUGAAGGUUUUCGGAUCGUAAAACUCUGUUGUAAGGGAAGAACACGUACGAGGGGAAAUGCUCGUACCUUGACGGUACCUUACGAGAAAGCCACGGCUAACUACGUGCCAGCCGCCGCAGUAAUAC